CAUGGACUGGGAUGUGCCUGGUGAAACCCGGGGACCGAAAGGCCUGGGGCAAGGAGAGGGUCCUGCGUCUGAUUAGCUAGUUGGCGGGGUAACGGCCCACCAAGGCAUCGAUCAGUAGCCGGACUGAGAGGGUGAUCGGCCACACUGGAACUGAGACACGGUCCAGACUCCUACGGGAGUUAGCAGUGGGGAAUUUUGCGCAAUGGGCGAGAGCCUGACGCAGCAACGCCGCGUGGGUGAUGAAGGUCUUCGGAUCGUAAAACCCUGUCGUCAGGGACGAAGGUUGCGAGUUUAAGAGAUGCGCAAAUUGACGGUACCUGGAGAGGAAGCCCCGGCUAACUCUUGUGCCAGCAGCCGCGGUAAUACAGAGGGGGGCAAGCGUUAAUUCGGAAUUAUUGGGCGUAAAGGGCGCGAUAAGGCGGUUUCUUAAGUGAAGAUGUGUAAUCCCCGGGCUUAACCUGGGAACUGCAUCUCAUACUGGGAGGCUAGAGUACUGGAGAGGGUGGUAGAAUUCCACGUGUAGCGGUGAAAUGCGUAGAGAUGUGGAGGAAUACCAGUGGCGAAGGCGGCCACCUGGACAGUAACUGACGCUGAGGCGCGAAAGUGUGGGGAGCAAACAGGAUUAGAUACCCUGGUAGUCCACGCUGUAAACGAUGAACACUUGGUGUGGCGGGAGUUGACCCCUGCCGUGCCGGAGCUAACGCGAUAAGUGUUCCGCCUGGGGAGUACGGUCGCAAGGCUGAAACUCAAAGGAAUGGACGGGGGCCCGCACAAGCGGUGGAGCAUGUGGUUAAUUCGACGCAACGCGAAGAACCUUACCUGGGCUUGAACUG
rnacentral:rRNA from 1 species